AUGGGCGGCAGUUUGGAUGAGAGGUCCUCGUGCUCGUCGUCUAAGCGGCGGCGACGGAAUAAUGAUCAUGCCGAGAGGCUGCCGCGGAAGCAGCACCUUUAUCUGGCGGUGGAUGACUGGGAGGGCGGGUACAGCAUCCACAAGCUUGACGCCGACGACAUCUUGGAGGAUACACAAGGAGGCGGAGGAGAGCACAAGCUUCUGGAGCACGCUGCCAUCCGGAUAAAGACGCCGAUGUGUGGCCGUAUGGAGUUCACCGCCGUGGGCACCAACAUCUUGGUCGACACCAACCCGCAUAACCGCGGCGACCACGCUCCCCCAGCCGUCAUCUACGACACGGAGACCGCAGCCCUCACCGUGGGCCCGCGUUUUCCACGUGGGAUUGAUCCCCUAGCGACUAGCAUAGCUGUCGGCAAAACGAUAUAUGUCUUGACAACCGCAGACUUGCCUCAUCUCCCAUGUUUGCAAGCCUUGUCGUGGCGCAGAGUCGCCGCAGACAACAUAUGGGAUCCAUACAUGGAUUGGUCCUGGAACAAAGUGCAGUCACAGCCACCCUUCAACGGAGUAGACAUCGUCGGCUACGCGUUGCACCCGGACGGACGUACCAUCUUCAUGUCUACAAGGAAGCAGGGAACCCACUCCUUGGACACGAGCAACGGCGUGUGGACAGGCCUUGGGGACGACUGGGUUUUGCCCUUCAAAGGCCAAGCCUUCUUCGACGCAGAGCUAAAUGCAUGGGUUGGGACGGAUCGCAAGGGCGCUGGAUAUGUUUGCUGCUGUCAGGUUGCCUCACGCAGCGCCACCACCAAAUGGCCGUUGGAAUGCAGGGUGCUCAAGGAGAAGCUGUUUCGCCGCAACAACGAGGAGCAUUACAUGGAGGGUGGCCGGCACAAGGAUGUCACUCUUACCUACAUGGGCGAUAGCAGGUUUUGCCUCGUCGAGAACAUCGUAUCCAGCAAGGAAGCCAUCGACACUGUGCUCCAUGUCACCUUGUUUGGCCUCAAGUAUGACCACAUGGGAGAGCUCCAAACUAAGGGUCGCCGUGGCACUAGGUCCUAUGCAGUGUCCAAGAACACUCGUCAUUUCUCUCAUGCAACAUUCUGGAUGUAA
rnacentral:rRNA from 1 species